rnacentral:rRNA from 1 species
GGGGAAUCUACCUCUUUGUGGGGAAUAACGCUCCGAAAGGAGUGGUAAUACCGCAUGAGACCAAUGGCUGGGAUGCUGUUGGUGAAACCCGGGGACCGGUAACGGCCUGGGGCAAGGAGAGGAUCCUGCGUCUGAUUAGCUAGUUGGCGGGGUAAUGGCCCACCAAGGCGACGAUCAGUAGCCGGCCUGAGAGGGUGAUCGGCCACACUGGAACUGAGACACGGUCCAGACUCCUACGGGUAGGCAGCAGUGGGGAAUUUUGCGCAAUGGACGAAAGUCUGACGCAGCAACGCCGCGUGGGUGAUGAAGGUCUUCGGACUGUAAAACCCUGUCGUCAGGGACGAAGGUGCGCACGUUAAUAGCGUGUGUACUUGACGGUACCUGGAGAGGAAGCCCCGGCUAACUCUGUGCCAGCAGCCGCGGUAAUACAGAGGGGGCAAGCGUUAUUCGGAAUUAUUGGGCGUAAAGGGCGCGUGGGCGGUUUUUUAAGUCAGAUGUGUAAUCCCCGAGCUCAACUUGGGGAACUGCAUCUGAGACUGGGAAGGCUAGAGUACUGGAGAGGGUGGUGGAA